UAUAUACUGCUUAAUUUUAUUUAAUUUAAACUAUUUUAACAGAUCAUAGUAAGUUUAGGGCUUAACAUAGGUUGUCAACUUCAAAAGUUUUUUUAAUUUUAAUAAAAAUAGUUCAAAUAGAAAAUUGAUUUUAAUGUAUUUAUUUUAAUCAUCCAUUUUUAUCCAUUGUGUGUCCACAGACAAAAGAGGUUGCAGGAUCAGGGCCAUAGUUUCAGACCUGGGAAUGCUAUGUAGCAGAUACUGCUUUCUGAUGCAGUUGUCUCCAUUGUUGUAAAAGAAGUUCUAUUGUUUAACUUAUUUUUUGUGUGAUAAAGUAUGUCAAAUCAAUGUUAAAAAAUAAACUUUAAGCUAAAGUUAAGAAAGUUUCAAGAAAGCAUGGAUGUGGAGACAAAACAGCUCUGUCAAAAAAUAAGAUGCCUGCUUCCUAACUCAGUCAUACGUAACUUUUUUUUUUUUUUUUUAAGUAGAGUCAUACAUUUUUGUUGUGCUGAAGUAUGCAAACCAAGGGACAACCAGAAAAUCAUUUACUCCCCCCCUUUUUAAAAAAACAAAAACAAAGGCUUUACUAAAAACAAGAGCAAUCCUAGAAAAAACAGAUUUUAAAAAAAUGAAGAGGCUGAGCUAAAGAAAAAGAAAUGGGCAAAAGAAUUAUUUUUUAAAAGUUGAAAAUAGGGAAAUACAGAUUAGAGGGUUUUUUUUUUUAAAUGUAACUGAGUCAGAUUCAUCACAUGAACAAGGUAGCCUAUGCAACCACAUUACCUUAUCGGUGCUAUCCUUGUGCCUCUCCCCAUUUUCAAUCCUGUUUGUUAAAUCCAGUCUGUAAAGAACCAUAGAAACACAGGACCAUUCCAGCUCUAAAGAGGUCAUCUAGCCCACCCCACUGAGGAAGGACCCAAAAAGGUUUGUCCAAACUAUUCUUAAAAGCUUGCCAUGAUAGGGAUUCCACAAGCUCUGCUGGAAGCUUAUUCCAGUACUUAACUGUCUAGUUAGAAAGUUUUUCCUAAAACACCUAACCUAAAUCUCUCUUGCUGCAGAUUAAGCCAAUUACUACUAUUCCUAUCCUCAGUGGACAUGGAGAACAAUUGAUCACCAUCCUUUUUAUACACCUUUCAUAUGUUUGAAAACUUAUGUUCCCUCCCCCUCCAUCUUUUCUCAAGACUAAACACAACCAGUUUUUUUUUUUUUUUUUUAAUUUUCCUCAUAACUGAGGGGAAACUCAUCAUUUUUGUUGCUCUCCUCUGGACUCAAUUUGUCCACAUCAUUCCUGAAGCAUGACACCCUGAACUAGAAACAAUAUUCCAGCUAAUGCCUCACAAGUGCUAAGUAGAGCAGGACAUUACCUUCCACAUGUCACAUAUAACACUCCUGUUAAUACACUCCAGAAUUAUAUUAGCCGCUCUCACAACUGUAUCACUCUGUUGGCCAACAUUCAAUUCCUAGCCAGUUAUUCCCCAUUUUGGAUCUCGGCAUGUGAUUUUUUUUCUUCCUAAAUGUAGUACUUUGCACUUGUCUUUAUUGAAUUUCAUCUUGCGGAUUUCAGAACAAUUCUGCAAUUUAUCAAAGUCCUUUUGAAUUAUAUAUAAGCCUGUCCUUCAAAAUGCUUGCCAUCCCUCCCAGCUUGGUGUCAUCAGCCAAUUUUAUAAGUAUACUCUCCACUCCAUUAUCCAAGUCAUUAAUGAAAACAUUGAAUAGUACCUGACCCAGCGUAGACCCUUGCAGGACCCCACUACAGUUUGACAGUAAACCAUGUUAACUACUCUGUGUUUUCAGAGUUAUAACAACUUGUAGUAAUUUCAUUUAGGCCACAGUCUCAUAAGCCAACUAAGGAGAUAUGAUGUGGGACUGUGUCAAAAGCCAUACUAAAAAUAAAGACAUGUCUAGGUUAAUGACCCUGUCAAAAAAGGAAAUUAGAUUGGUUUAGCAUAAUUUGUUCUUGACAAAUCCAUGUUGGCUAUUAUCCUCUAUUUGCUUAUAAAUGUACCUUAGGAUGAAUUUCAUCAGGUCCUGCCAACUUGAAUACAUCUAACAUCUAAAUAUUCUUUAACCUGUUCUUUCCCUUUUCUAAAAUGCGUUCCUUCCCCCUUGUUGUUAAUAUUAAUUUACGGCUUGUCUUAAACAAAGGCCCUGACCCUACAGUGAGAUACAGUCAAGCACAUUUCUGCACUCAAGGGGAGCCUGACUGAAGUCCAUGAGACUCCACUCAGGACCGUGAGUCAGCCUGUGCAUGUGCCAUUGAAGGAUGGGGACCUUAGGUUUUAAGCUCACUGUAGCAGAGACCAUUAUUACUAUGCGCUUAUACAGCACUUUGCCACAAUGAGGUCCUAAUCUUGAUUAGGGUCUCUAUGCACUACAGUUACACAACGAAUUUAUAACAAAAAUUUUGAAAGUGAGAUGGAAGAUUUAAACAAGUAAAUAAGAGUUGCUGUUAUUUAAAAAAAAAAAAAAAACCUAUACCUUACAAUGUAUCACAGGGGUUUUCAAACUGGGGGUUGUGAACCCUCAGGGCAUCAUGAGGUUAUUACAUGGGGGGUUGCGAGCCGUCAGCCUCCACCCCAAACUCCGCUUCGCCUCCAGCAUUUAUAAUCGUGUUAAAUGUAAAAAAAAAUUGGUUUUAAUUUAUAAGGGGGGGUCACAUUCAGAGGCUUGCUAUGUGAAAAGGGUCACCAAUACAAAAAUUUGAGAACCACUAAAUCAGAAACAGAGUCACCAAAACAUACAGACAUCCCAACCUUAGGUCUCUUGACACACCAGGAUAUAGAAGCUAAGCAAAAAUUGCAUAUCUACAGAUAUUUCUGUAAUUAGACCAAGAUAUUUUCUUUCCUGAUGAGACCAAAAAUGCUGUUUGUGAACUUGCUGGCACAUACUUUACUUGCAGAGAAGACAACGUGAUGGUUCAUUCAACAGUUUUACUGCUGAAACCAAAAACCCCUUUGUUUAAAUUAAGAUGACAGCAUAAUACACGUGUGAAAACUGAGAAAGCACAGAAAUACUAGGAGGCAUUUAUACUUAUUUCUAAGAAUUGUUGAUUGGUUGCCAUUUGCUGAUCAGAGGACUAAUCAAGAAGUCAACUGGCAUAGGGGCAAGCAGCACAGGGAUAGAUACAUGGAGAUCAAUUCCUUUCGUGUUUGGUUGCAGCAGUCUCUCUUCCCAUGUCUGUGGCAGAUCUAACUAAAGCUCUGUUAGAUGGGAACUUACCCAGUCCCCAUCUUUCUCCUUUACAACAUCUCACUAGCACUUUGUAUGCUAUGGCAAGGGAGGAAAUCUAUCAGUUCCUGAUUUUCUCCUGUUAAUGAAUAUUUGAAUGUUUAGAAGUGAGUUCAGCAUGGUUCCCUAAUUCAUUCUGGGGUAUCUGAAAGUCUUCCUGUUUUUUAUGAUGCAGAUAUUCCUGAUAAAACUAGGGGAUAGAGAAAUUUGUAGGCAGGAUCAGUUUAUAAGUAGUUACUUUUGAAUCAUUUAGUCUUGGAAUGCCUGUAGCAUCCCAGUUAUUCCACAUCACAACUAACUGUAAAGUCUUCAAGUAUGGAAUACUCUGCAGAUGAAUUUUUCAAAAAAUAAAGACCCUGUUAUAAACAGAGACCCUAUUUAAAAGAGAAUCUGUUGUUCAUACCUUCCCUUCUGAAAUAUCCUACUAUCACUUUUUAUAUAAAGUGUGGAUAUGUCGUCGUGACUGAACAGAUGAGCUCAAAAGGUUCAACUCCCAUUAACCUAGGCUGCAAUUAUUGAGUCAACAUUUAGAUACAUGGCAUCAGAGGUGUAGCCUGUCAGUCUGUAUCCACAAAAACAAUGAGGAGUCCAGUGCAGACUCCCCAUUAUUUAGAUACAUGGAGUAUUAUUCUAAAACUAGAGCAGACUUUUUUUUUAAUAAUUUAUUAAACAGAAAAAGAUUAAGACAAGUAUGUGUAUUGCAUUUGCAUGUAGUACGUUUCAACAUUUGGGAGACAGAAUAAUAUUUUUCUUCUGAUGCUUUUAUAAAUAAAGGUAAGGUGCUCACACACCAAUGAUGGAUAACCCUAU